rnacentral:sRNA from 1 species
GCAUAAAAAAAGACCGAAUACGAUUCCUAUAUUCGGUCUAGGGAAAUGGCUCUUGGGAGAGAGCCGUGCGCUAAAAGUUGGCAUUUAUGCAAGGCUUGUUCAGCCGAGCACUUUAAGCGUAGCAAAAGGUGCCAGUUUUGCCAGCCA